GUGGGGAAGAGACAACCCAUCUGUUAAGUACUGUAUAAAAUUGGUGGUAUAUUUGAAUGGUGCCUCUCCUUCAAGUACUUCCAUACUCAAUAAACUGUUCUGUUUAAUCAAAGAUUUUCCUAAUGUGCAGGAGCUGUGGGGGAGGGGAAACCACAUAAGAGGCCAUCUUCUCAAGUAUCCUGUACACUAUUUAUUCGAUUUCUGAAUAUUCCUUCUGGUCUGUCCUAUGUCUCAGAUGGAUCAUGGCCAAACAUACAUCCUUGUGGUCUUAGAAGACUACCUCCAAUACGCAUGUAAUGAAUUCAUUUUAUAGGUCAAACUCCAAAGAAAUAAUUCAAUUUGCAGAAGUCUAUUACUGAUACAGAAAUUAAGAAAAUACUUCAAAGAUUUAUAUUUACAAGUCAUUUUGAAAAGGGCGCUUCUUUUUAGAGUUUAAGAUUACAAAUUUAGUAAAAUGUUUAGCAAAACAUCUAUUCAAUAAGGUAAAUAUGGCCUAACAAACGAAAGGAGACACACAAAAUAUGAAAUCGAUUGAAAUAUUAAAACUCUAAUGAAACUUUCAGUCCUAUUCAAGCACAAAUCUACAAUUAAAACCAAAAAUCUGCCAAAAACCCCCAAGAAACAAACAAAAAAGAAAAACUCUAAGAUCCAGUUUCUAGAUGUUGCUGAUAUCCAUAAAUGGGUAGAAGGUUAUGAAUUCUCAUCUCCCCACCAAUAAAAUGCAAACCAGCUCAGCAAUGAAAAUUCCCAGGAAAGCAAGGUUUCUUCUUAGUCCUGAAGCAGCUAUUGCCUAAGUGGAGCUCCCUGCAGCCAACAGCAUUAAUGGAGGCUGCACUGCUGUCCUUCCCUGGAGACGGCAGCCAGCACUACUCAAGCUUCUCACGUAGCAACCAGAGUUCCAGAGCCAGCAGCUGCUGCUGCCUUGUAUACUCAGUCCUGUGAUCCAACCCAAAGAACAACCUUUUUCUUACCCCACCCCCACUCCUUACACACUUUUUUUUGGAUCAAUGUUCCAAGAGCUGGAAUUAUGCUUUGAGAAAGAAACACCCUAAAUCCUUUUAGUUUUAAACUAAGGGCCUUUUAUUAGAAAAACCACUAUUUACCAAAUUCCAGAUAGCCAUUUUAAUUAAGCCAGCAAUUUAGGAGUGAAGAUUAAGCUUUAGUCUUUAAAAGGCCAAUUUCCCAAGAACUCUCUUUACAGUCAAAUUUAAAUUUGCAGUUAGAGAUAGAGACUUGUGUCAUGCCCCACCAAAGGACAUAAUUCAUUUCUGAAUCUUCAUGACAGUCUGAGUAAACCUUAAAAACUCUAAUCCCAUAACUGACCAGAAUUUUUGGCUAUAGAAGAAAACGAAUGAUCCUCCUGAGAAAACUGGAAGAAAUCCAAUAAAAAAAAAUUUCCUGUGUUCUUCAAGAGGCCCAGAAUAUGUGAAUAUUCUUUGCUUUAGUCCUAGCUCAGAUUCCACACAUCUAAAAUUACAACUUAUAACUUUUUCCCUGAGUGAUCUAAAAGCAUCAGUGAUAUAAAAUUAACCACCAAGAAAUUUUCCCAAAUAGGGGGUACACAAACAUUCUCCCGAAAAGCUCAUAAAUGCUCAACUCAGCUGGAUCCUCCCCAACCAAAAGUUUUUUGUUGGAUCUGCCCAACAACAACAAAAAAAUCUAAGUAUGGCCUUGGUUACAAGUCAUUUAUAAGCAACUCCUUUAGUCAAAUGAUGAAAAGACAUUAGCAGAGAACCUGGGGAUUCUUUCAGUACUAUGAGCAAGGGAGGAAAAGGGAGAAAUGAACUAAAAUAGAGACAAAGCUCAAUGGAACCCGGAGAUCUGGGCACGAAACGAGUUACUGGUGCACACAUUGCACAAGUAACAUGAGAAAGCAGAAAAUGCAGGUCAUACAUGCACCCCUGACCCAGACCAGCAGGGCUGGCUGCAGCAUCCGUAUCCAAGGGAAAGAUCAGUUAUUCCUAACAAGUGAGACGCAAAAGAGCUCCAUAGAAUAAAUUAGCAUGGAGGGGGCUUUCCCAACAGCUAAACUUUCCCUCUCACGCGUUCACCUACUUAGAAACCAGGGCUUUUUUUUCCCUCACCGUCAUUCCCUUCGCAUCCCUUAGCUCCCACGCAGGGGGAAUGGGGAUUCAUCAAGGGUACAUUUUUCUGCCUUUAAAGACCUUCUCAAAGGAUCGCUCUCCACGCCCAAGGCUGGGAGAACGACACAGCCUGGCUCAACUCCAAGCUCAAACCCGACCGAUUCAAGAAUAGGACUCUCUCGGACAUACUGGGGCAGAAGCCACCGAGAACCCCAAAAUCUGGAAAAGCAUCUAAAUAUGAAUAGUGACCCAAGAGAAAACAACAAGGAACUCAGGUGAAGUUUUUAAUUCAAAGAUAAAUCAGUCCUUUUAAGAAACCAAAAAUAUUUUGACAGGUUUAUGUUUGAUUUUCAAAAGCAAUACCACUUUUGUGUACUGAAAAAUAAAAUCUUUAAAUUUGA